UAGAUGAGUGACAUACAUACUUUAAUCAGUGCUGGACUGGUAAUCUGGCAUACCGGGCAAAUGCCCGGUGGGCCGACGUCCUUGGGGGCCGGUGAAUAUAAUAUGAUUAUUUUUUUAUUGGCCAACGACCGGCCCAUAAAGCAGGGACAGCGGCCCAUUGGUUCAUUUUCCAUACUGACACUGGGCUUGCCCAAUCAUCUCUUAACAAGCUCCACCCCUCUGUUUCUUGUGUCAGAUGGACAGAGCGAUGAUCUGACACAAGAAACAGAGAGCGAGUAUCAUACAGACGUAACAUACAUCUGACACUAUUUUUGUCUGACCAGCCCAUAACACUUGUACAUCGCGCAACGCAGCCCGUUGCUUUCUUUCUUUGUUUUAAUUUAAUUCAUUAAUGGCGCUAAAAGGUGCGGUGGCAAUGUAUCGCAUUUUCCAAAAAAGUUAGCGUAAGAUUAUUAUUUUUUGAACAGACCGGCCCAGGAGACACCUAAUCAGCAGCCCAUUGGUUCUUUUUUAUUUGACAUUUGGCUAGCCCAAUCACACCUUUUAGGGCAUUUUAUGAAGCAUGCAGCGUCAGUGUGCGUCUGUCAAAAUAAGAGACUACUGAGUACCGAGUGGACGUGUGGUAAGCAGAACUGCAUCUAAAACACAUUUGUUAGAUAUCCUAUUGAUAAAACACAGUCAAAAACACUAGUGAUAGACCAAUUGCUGUUUGCAAAAUGACUUUGAUUACACUGCAAUAAAAUACAGUGUGGGCAGAAUUAUUAGGUAGCUACAUAAAACUUUUGAUCACAGUUUUUAUCAAACAUAUUUUACUAAUUCCAAACCAAAUUAAUCUUAAUAACUACCAUUCAUUUUGUAAAUAAGGCAUUUAUAAGUAAUACAUUAUUGUUAAUGAUGUCUGGCUGGAGAAAAAAACACCUUAUAUUCAAGUGUGCAGAAUUAUUAGGCACAUUUUCUUUUCAUUUAAAAUGGGCCAAAAAACACACUUUUAACACACACACACUGGAAAUUCAUUAUUUGAUGUCCAUAACAAAGAUGCCAUGCAUGGAAAUUGCAAAAUUGAGGUAUACAAGAAAUCCUGAUUCGGGCAGCAAGGGCAUUAAAUAGGAUAAAAGGAAAAGAUAUAUACAAAAUUAAUGUUGGUUAUUAAAAUUACUGUGUUUUGGAAUUGGUAAAAGGUGUUCAGAAAAAAAGUGAUCAAAAUAUUCUGCACACACUGUAAUGGGACUCAGCCACGAGAGUGCGACUUCAUUGUAACAUUUAUCAGGUCUUGGUGUUAUCAUAAGGUGUUCAGAAUGGUUAGUUUAAACAUUGUGCAUUCACUGGCUAAUACUAUUUUUAAAACCUGCAAAGCCUUUUACAGCGCUUACAUUUUUGUAAUGUCACGUGUCAGCUCUUAUACUUUUCUACUUAAUCAUUGUGUGGAGUUGGUAGUCAAGUUUGCACAGAGAUUUGGGAUCCUAUGUAGUGGGCCGGUCUGGGCCAAAAUGCCAGGGCCAAUUUUUUGUCCCAGUCCAGCCCUGACUUUAAUUCUUACACGUUUCUAGUCUUCUAUUAAGUUUUCUCGACGUGGGCACCAUUCUUACCUCUCUCUCUUUCGCUCGCUCUCUCUCUCCUCUACAAUGUCAAAUGAUCCUGUGUGAGAGGGGGUUCUUGCAGUUCUGAGUUUUUUCGCUUGAGUUGCAUAACUUGCGCGAAGACGCAAGGGGAAACGCGUGUUUUCGCGGCAAUUGCGCCGCCCAAUUCGCGUCAUUUGCAUCGCCCUGUGAGGACGCACCUGGUUGCGUAUUUGCAUUGACUUUGUAUGUAAUCUGUUCGCGCAAAUCGUUAAACUUGCGUUGGUGAGUAUGCCCUAUAAUGAAUGGAAACGCAUUAUUCCCUUCACUUCAGUGCACACGCACCAGCGCAGCGAGUGCACGUGCACAAGCGCAGCUGGUACACUGGCAAGAGCAGAGCAUCAGCCUAUGUGCCGGGGCUUAGCCCCGGACGGCCCCGUUGAAAACCCGUGAGAAAGCCUGGGAAGAGCGGAUAGCAACGAAUAUGUGAUUGGGCCCGCCGACUGUCAAUCAAAUUCUUCCAGAUCGGGCGGCCCCUGAUUGGUCCGGGCCCGUAAGCAACGCUUACCCUGCUUACCGAUAGUUACGCCCCUGAGUUUAAUACAAGUGUUAAAUAAAUACAUUUUUUAAAACAGAGAUAGUAUGUUAAAAGUGCAUUUUAGUUCAUAUUAGGGCUGUCACUUUUGAGAAAAAUCUAAUUCGAACGGAUAUCGAAUUUCAUGCAACUGCGGAUGUCUCAACAAAAGUUGAGCCUGUAAACCCUCAUGUUGAGUUUGUUUGUUAUGCAGUAGACCUCACUUAAAGUUGAAAAGCGCGCGCCUUGCCUCUUCAAGAACACAACAGGUUGCAUCAGUUUAAACCAUUAAGCGCAUUGUGCUUUGUUUGCGACGCAGGCACACAGAAUAUGCGCAUAUAGGCUACAGCGGAUGUCUGGAUACUGGUUUGAAGAUGUAAUGUGACUGCUAGCUUUAAAUCGCAGCACGUAAUUCCUAUUUAAAGUGCUGUUGAACGUUGGCAACGUAUGUUUCGCCCGAAAUGGUGGUGCCACCAGCUAUACAGAAUACAAACACAAUUCCUUCUCGUUUUAACAUGGAACCCAAUGGAAAUAAUGUCUAAAUAUUUAUUCGAGUGGUGUUAUGUUCAAAUAUAGUGGUGUUCGAUUAUCUUAUGUGUCUCAACUAUUUAAUUCUAAUCGUCAUAUGCUGUUUUAAUGAAUUCCAACAUGACUGGAGAAUUGGAAUGCAUCUGAAAUAACUUGUUUCUAAUUUAAUACAAUGUUUCAUUUUAAACCUGGAAUAUACCACAGGAAUUUUGCACUCUGACAAGUUGUAGCAGCAAACGCAUUGUGCGGUGAUCAUGCUGAAUUUCUGAUACUGUCAGAAAACUAUUGUAGGCUAUCUUGGACGCAAAACCAGGCAAACGUCUGUCUUUAAACUUCUCCCACCGUACGACACUGUACCACCGACGCAGAGCCACGAUCAUACAAUUCGUGAUGUUUCACGAUGGGAAUCUUUCGUCUGGGAAAGCCAAAACUCAUGCAGUUAUGAUUCUAAAUGAUAACUUUACAAGGAACUUUGUCUGGAAUUAGAUGCGUACAAUCCACUUAAUCUGCAUCCUCAAGGAAAUAGCGAAACAUGCAUCAACUUUCCUAUAACCACAUUACACCGGCUGCUAGGAUUUAAACCAUUAUAACAGCGCGGCUGCAUACAUGAGGCAAGCUAUUUUAAAACUAUACAUGUUUUUACACAGACUACAGACAUGCAGUUCUAUAAGUGCUUUAUUUUCAGUGCCUGCAUUAACAUCAGGGCUCUUUAUCAAACUUCCAGGAACUCUAAUUGCAAAUGGCUGCAAGGAUUUGAACAUGCAUAAUUGCUACAUGUACAAGAAAUAAGCUUUCCUUAGUAUUUGGCCGUGCUCACUUGCCGCGUGCACGCAGGUUGUCACGUUUCACGUCCACGGUUGUGUAUGGUGCAGACUUUGAUCGUUUCUGGAAUGCCAGCGUGGCGGAGGAUCUUCAUUAAACAAAUAAUUCAGAACUUCUUAAGUGCAUAUCAUGUAAGACUGUUAGCACAAAACUGUCACGUUUAAUCAUGCUGUGUUUAAGUUUACAGUUUAAGCUGUAAACUUUCAUCUAGAUGGCUAUUACUUUCAGAGUACGUCCAUCUAUCAACUGCACAACCCUACUGAUACCGCUCCUCAGUUUUUGGGGGGUCUUAAUUUAUGUCGUAAACGGAGAAUUUUAUAAUCCUCUGUGUGUCAUGGCGAAGCAAGCAAGACAAGGCAACGGAUCCAAAUGCAAUGGUUUAUUUCUAAAGCCCUAUUCGGACGGGAUUAGUUUUACGGGGGUACAUGGAGUAAUGUAACUUUACCACAGGACAUCUGUAAUGCUGAUGUCCAAUUCGGACGGGAUCAGACAAUCUCAGUAAAACAUUCAGAAGUGGGAGGGGUAACUCGAUUACGCAGCACAGUCACCUCCCUCGUCGUCACGUGGACAUUACGUCGCUUCCUGAUUUCACGUGUAAACACGCAACAUGGCGCCGUCCAAAAAAACGCGAAACUGGACCAGGGAAGAAACGCUAUGUUUAAUCUCGGUUUGGGGAGAGCGUCUGUUUCAAAAACAGUUUGAGAGCAUGGUGCAUAACCACACAAUAUGGGAACAGAUUUAUGGAUUAGUUGUAAGUAAAUGUCCAAAAGUAGCUGAAGAUUUUGGGGACUGGGGAAAGCUGAAAGAAAGAAUCGACUACCUGAAAAGAAAGUACAGAGAGUGCAUUAAACACAACAAACGGACUGGCAGUGAUCCGACAAAGUCUCCAUAUUUUGAAGAAAUGGAUGCGGUUUUAGGUAAGAUUACAUUGUUAUCUGGGACUUUAGCUUCAUACAGCAAUAUACGAGUAAACUAUUGUCUACUUUAGGUUGCCGACCAAUGACAGACCCGCGCGACGAUCAUAUGGAUAAUCGAAGUUCUGAAGACGAACGCCAAUCUGAAUUUGACGUAUAUACACUUGUCUUUACAGUGCCCAGCACUCCUUCAUCCUACCCCGAGCAAGAUUCUGCAAGUACCACAACAGAAUCUUCACCUGAGAGUCAAGGGGAGGUUGCAGGACCAAGUACAAAUCAAGCAAGAGUUCCACGGCCAGAUCCAUCACCAAGCAAUGACCCCUUUACAGCCCACGUGAUCAAAUAGCCUGCGCGCGCAUUUCGGCAUCAGAAGUGGUGUUAUUCCCCAUUGGUUUUAACUUGUUAGCAACUCAGAAAGUUUAUUAAAAUUGUUUCCCAGCAUCAAAAUGUCUGGUUGUUGCGUUUGGUUGCACUAAUAUAAUAUACGUAUAUAUGUAUCUGGCAACUUUAUUUUUGGCCAUCUGUAACUGUUAAAAAGUUGAUAAAGCCAACUUUUUAAAAUAACUCUAUGUUGCUACACUGCUGAUUCUUGCCAUACUUCCGUUGCAAAACUGCGUGCGCAUACGUUGCCACGUCAUCAUUGUGUACAAACAGUAAAAGGGUCCAUAUGUGUGUUUGUGGGUGUGUGUAUAUAUUUUCCAGCACAAAUCAGCUUCAGGUGUUGGCUAUGUGCAGUACGAGAGGGACAGAUUGGAAUGGGAGAAGGAAGCUGAGAGAAACCGGAUGGAUUUUGAGAGGCGUCGCCUUGACUUCGAAAUGAGAAGGAUGGAGGCUGAAGAGCGGCGUGCAAGGGAUAACAGAGAACUGAUGUUGCAGUUAUUUAAGUGCAUUAGGCCAAUGGCCCUUUCUUCCACCUCAUUGAUUUCACGUUGUGCAGUUUGAAUAUCAUCAUUGAUGUGUUCCUGUGGCUGCUCAGGGGCACGUAAACGUAAAGGAAAGAAAACACAACUCAUGGAAGCUGUGGAGAAGGGCCUUGAUCGCAUUUUCCAGCACGAAUCAGCUUCAGGUGGUGGCUAUGUGCAGUAUGAGAGGGACAGAUUGGAAUGGGAGAAGGAAGCUGAGAGAAACCGGAUGGAUUUUGAGAGGCGUCGCCUUGACUUCGAAAUGAGAAGGAUGGAGGCUGAAGAGCGGCGUGCAAGGGAUAACAGAGAACUGAUGUUGCAGUUAUUUCAGUGCAUUAGGCCAAUGGCCCUUUCUUCCACCACACCAUUCAAUUACGGUCCAUACCCUAACUAUCAUGAACCCUUCUGAGGUUCAUUUUGGCCCCCCUGCUCCAAAUGCCACACCUGUCUCUGGCCCAGUGCACCACUCUCAUCCCCCCUCUUUUUCAUAAAGUAUAUAAAGUAGUUGUCCUUAACUUGCAAAAGGGUGAGUUCACGAUGUGCAACGUUGUUGUUUUUUUGCACUUUAUUACAGAGAAGAGACACAAUGUUUAAGUGCUUUCAAGUCUUUACACAAAAGUAAUUUUUGUAAAUAAGGUUUAUUUGAGUUUUCACUUACAAAGAAGUUUUGUUAUUACAGUUUACAUUAACAACUGUUGUCUUUAGAAGUUGACAAUAGUUUAACAAAGGUAUAAUGUAACAGUUUUUACUAUUCCUGGAAGAACUUGAAUCAUUUUGUUUUUUUCUGACUGCUGCCCAGAAGCAAAAGUGUAGCAGAAGUUUUGUCUUCAGACCUGGCUGACGUAGUCAGGAGAGAUUCCUGAAUUGUUUUGGCCAUUUUGCCAUUUCAUUUGCUGCCUUUUUUUUCAGUGUUCUCGUUACAACUGAUUAAUAAAAACCUCCAAAGCAUU